CUGCCAGCGUCACUUUCUAAGCAGGCCAGCGGUGAGUCUCCACAUCUCCUUUUUCACUUCAUUCUCGGCAGUGUCAAAAACUUCUCCAAAAUGAGCUUCAGAAGAACCACCAUUCAGCCUCGCUCCGCACCCAAGUAUAGUUCUGCCAGCAUCUAUGGCGGUGCUGGUGGAAUGGGCUCCCGCGUUUCUUCUGUCUCUGUGUCUGCCCUGCGUUCUGGUGCCCCGAUGACCUCUUCUUCCUCUGCCUACAAGCUGAGCAGUGGAAUGUCGGGUGGUAUGGGUGCAGGUUCUGGUUUUGGUAGUGCCGGUGCAUCCUUUUCAACUGGUGGUGGUGCCGGUGCUGGGAUCAUGGGCAACGAGAGGGGAGCCAUGCAGAACCUGAACGACCGCCUCGCCAACUACCUGGAGACGGUGAGGAACCUGGAACAGGCCAACAAUGAGCUGGAGAUGAGGAUCAUGGAGGCUAUUGAGAAGGGAGGGCCCAACAUGAGAGACUACAGCAAGUAUGAACCCAUCAUAGACGACCUACGCAAAGAGAUAUACGAUAAAAUCGCGGAAAAUGCUCGUUAUGUGCUCCAGAUCGACAAUGCCCGUCUCGCUGCUGACGACUUCAAAGUAAAGUUUGACAAUGAGAUGGCAAUCCGCCAGUCUGUUGAGGCUGACAUCGCUGGGCUAAAGAAACUCAUAGAUGACACCAACAUGACCAGGAUGAACAUCGAAAGUGAGAUUGAAUCUGUCAGGGAGGAGCUCGCCUUCCUGAAGAAGAACCAUGAGAAUGAGGUGAUGGAGCUGAGGAAUCAGAUCUCCCAGUCAGGCGUUCAAGUGGACGUAGACGCUCCCAAAGGUCAGGACCUGGCCCAGAUCAUGGCGGAUGUGAGGGGCAACUAUGAGAAGCUUGCCAUGAAGAACGUAGAAGAUCUUAAGCAGUGGCAUGAAAAUCAGAUUGCGGAUGUACAGGUGGAGGUAUCACAGAACACAGAAGCCCUCCAGGGAGCCCAAAUGCAGAAGAGUGACUUAACCAGACAGAUACAGACCCUGGAAAUUGAACUUGCAUCCCAACAAAACUUAAAAGCCUCCUUAGAGGACACAUUGCGUAACACAGAGCAGCGAAACAACAUGGAAACGGAGAGAUAUAACGGCAUUAUUAUUCGUCUGGAGGAGGAGCUGACCAACUUGCGUGCAAACAUCCAGAAUCAGACCCAGGAGUAUGAGGCGCUGCUCAACAUGAAGAUGAAACUGGAGGCCGAGAUUGGCACUUACAAGAAUCUAAUGGAUGGUGGAGACUUCAAGUAAGAAUUAGGUGGUGGAGAAAAAAAACAGAUCCAGGCAAGGUGUUGAUGGUGGUGGAGGCUCCAGGAUGCACUGGAUGAGCUGGCGGCCGCAAGCUAAUUUGGAACAAAGAAUCUGGGACCAUCUCAACAACGAAAGCAGAAAAAACCCCACAACUAUCCAUUAUGGAAAAAAAUACAUGCUGGUCCAAUUAUCCAAAGCCAAUUUUGAACAGAGACCACAUUCUUUGUAAACCAUAAAUGAUUUAAGUAGUUCUGAAUAAAGGCAUUUGACCAAACCAUAGUGAAACAGGCAGGGCUAUUUGAAAAGCAACCAAUGCCUGAAAAUGAAUAAAACCACUUAUUGA